GUCUGUAAAGCCCUUUUCUGUGUGACGAGAAUGGACGGUAGCACAGGAAUAAGUCUCGGCUAACUACGUGCCAGCAGCCGCGGUAAAACGUAGGAGGCAAGCGUUAUCCGGAGUAACUGGGCGUAAAGGGCGAGUAGGUGGUUCAAUAAGUUGGUUAUGAAAGCUCCUGGCUAAACUGGGAGAGGCUGACCAAGACUGUUGGACUUGAGUGGAGAAGAGGUAAACGGAAUUCCGCGUGUAGUGGUGAAAUGCGUAGAGAUGCGGAAGAACACCAGUGGCGAAGGCGGUUUACUGGUCUCCAACUGACACUGAACCGCGAAAGCAUGGGUAGCGAACGGGAUUAGAAACCCCGGUAGUCCAUGCCGUAAACGAUGCACACUAAACGUUCGGCAUCCGCGAGGGUGCUGAGUGUUGAAGCCAACGCGAUAAGUGUGCCGCCUGGGGAGUACGGUCGCAAGGCUAAAACUCAAAGGAAUUGACGGGGGCCCGCACAAGCAGCGGAGCGUGUGGUUUAAUUCGAGGGUACACGAAGAACCUUACCUGGGUUUGACAUAGGCGUGGUACUCAAGGGAAACUGCGAGGACUCUUCGGAGAGCGUCUACAGGUGCUGCAUGGUUGUCGUCAGCUCGUGCCGUGAGGUGUUCGGUUAAGUCCGCAAACGAGCGCAACCCUCGGCGUUAGUUACAAGUGUCUAA
rnacentral:rRNA from 1 species